rnacentral:misc_RNA from 1 species
CUGGGCUCCAAUUCUAUUCCGGUUGUUCAAAUCCAUUCAAGUUGUUCAAAUCCAAUGGUUGAAUUUUAUCCAAUUUUUUAAAAAAGAAAAAUCCGAAUUUGGCCCGGAACCUAACAGGCCAAUUCUGGUCCGGUUCAAAUCCAGUUUUGGCCCAUUCUGGUUCAGGAUCAAGGAGGAUCACUAAUCCAGUUAUCCUUUUUCUAAUAAUUUUCUUUUUCUUCUCUCUUAACAGAAUUUUCUGUUUAUAUAACAAACAAAACCUACAUGAUAGAGAUGGGAAAAUUGAAAUGAAGUUAUUUGCAUAUCAAAUUAUCAACUAUUUAUGAAAUUUUAGGCAUUUAGGCUUUCAAGUUUUCACACAGAAAGCAUCAACAAAAAGAUGAGUUUGCAUUGCAAUAAACAAAG